GCAGUUUUGCAUCCACCAACUCUUGGAUGGCCUCUUUUUCCAUGGUGGACAUCCUCCAAGUAGAUGCUUGAUUCGGCGGGAUGGUCGGAUUGGUAGGCCCACAUUUGUGCAGGGGAAGCUGCGGCUCUUUCCCUUUCUUGGACUCCUUCGUUGAUCCCUCCUCGGCCUUUCCCUUGGACUUGUCAGUUUUCUUCCCCAUCUUCUUUACACGCAUCACCACGGGCUGUGCAAGGGGAGGAAGAGAAAGCUACUUGAGCUUGCUAGUUUUGGCUAAUGGUGGCGGUGGCGCUAGGGUUUUUUCAAGAUGGAGAGUGAAUAGAUGCAAAUGGACGGAAGCGUAAACCACGGAGGCUACUGCCCUUAUCUUUUGUAAUAGAGCAACAGAUCUAAAACAGCCCCGAGAUUCUGGUAACGGAGUUGGUAAUUUCGCAAUGGUCUGAUACUCUCAACAUUUAUCGCGAGAAUGAAGUCCAACGGUCAUGUUGAUCAUGAUUGACCCCAUCAUCGCUUGAACGUAGUCAAUCAAAGUGCUUGGGGGUUGCAUACACCUUGCCCGUCAGACAUAAUUUUCUUUUUCUUCAGGGAUUAAGGAAAGACAAAGCAAAU
rnacentral:lncRNA from 1 species